rnacentral:rRNA from 1 species
UAGGGAAUCUUCCACAAUGGACGCAAGUCUGAUGGAGCAACGCCGCGUGAGUGAAGAAGGUCUUCGGAUCGUAAAACUCUGUUGUUAGAGAAGAACAUGCAGGAGAGUAACUGUUCUUGUAUUGACGGUAUCUAACCAGCAAGUCACGGCUAACUACGUGCCAG